GACAGAGGAUGCAAGCAUUAUCCGGAAUGAUUGGGCGUAAAGCGUCUGUAGGUGGCUUUUCAAGUCUGCCGUCAAAUCCCAGGGCUCAACCCUGGACAGGCAGUGGAAACUAACAAGCUGGAGUACGGUAGGGGCAGAGGGAAUUUCCGGUGGAGCGGUGAAAUGCAUUGAGAUCGGAAAGAACACCAACGACAAAAGCACUCUCGCUGGGCCGACACUGACACUAAGAGACGAAAGCUAGGGGAGCAAAUGGG
rnacentral:rRNA from 1 species